GUCUCCAUAGCUCAGUGGUAGAGCAUGCGAUUGCAGUAAUCUGUAGGUAUAUGAUCCAUCGCAGGGUCAGGUGUUCAAACCACCUUGGGGACU
rnacentral:tRNA from 1 species